UCUUGUCAGGCUGGGACAAGAUAAAAAUCACUAUAUCUGGGUGUUCCUUUCAAAGGAAGAUAUAUAUAUAUAUAUAUAUGUAUCAAAGUACCUGGUGAAAUGUCUUUAUUUUAAACCACAACAGUUUUCUAAAAAAAAAAAAAUUAAGAGAAAUUUCAGAGAAAUAAAUGAUAUAAGUAAAUCACAUAAAGUUGUCCUUUUUGAUUUUAUGUAGCCUCCAUAUGGCAUCUCUGAGAGAGAGAAAGAGAGAAUAGGAGGAAGGAAGCUGAUUUGCGGUUUUAAAUGAACUUUAAACUUGAAAAAUUGCAUUUAAUAAUGUUUGUGAAAAUAACAUCGAUAUAUGUAGCCAGAUAUCUGGUUUUAAUAGGAUGAUUCGGGAGUUUCUGUCUACUUACUGCAGGCUUGUUGCUGCCAAACUCCUCUGUUCGUCGCAUCCUCCUAAAAUUCAUGAAUCUCAACUAAACGAGCCCAAAAAGUUGGUUGCUAAGACAUGGUAACUGUUUGUUUGAAAUUGUGUUUGUUCUAGUUGGGAUAGGAGGAGUUUCUAUCUUAAAAAAAAAAAAAAUCCUUUGGAGGUCAGAAGGUGACACUUUGGAGGACACAGCAUCUAGAGAGUAUAGGACAGUGAGAAAGCGGAGUCAGUUUUCCCUGUCCUGGGAAGCCCUCUGCUCAGUACUGAGCACUUGACAUCCCCCCCCCCCAACCCUGCAUCCUCCUUUAAGGCUUCUAAGUCACAAGGAACUGCACACAGCUCAACCUUGUUGCUAAAAAUGAAAAGAAAGCCCAUGUUUGCAAAGACUACCCUCCCAGAUCCCUUCUUGGCUAGAAGGAGGUUUCCAGUGCUCCCAGCAGCAGGGUACCAGAUGUGGGAGUAACAUCCACUUAAGGUUCCCUCACCACAGAGGGCAGCGACCCCAGGGAUAAGAAAUGGGCAGAGGGAGAAGGGCUAGUAGUGUUAUUUGCUUUACCUUCCCCCACGUGCCUGUUACACCAGCUCCCAUAAUGGGGCCCAUUAUUGAUAGCAUCUCCUGGACUCUUGUUGGGUAUGGCCCCAGAACACAGUAGUGUCAGGUGGGAGGGAACAUGGGUCAUGGGACUCAAAUGGGUGGCUAGCAAGGCAGAGAGGAGCUAGGGAGAGGAAAGGAGGUAUGCUUACAUAGAAAAGUCUUGAACCACUUGUUUUAGAGGUAAGCUGAAGGAUUGUUUGCUUGAUCUGUAUUCUUUUCAUUUUCUCCAAGUCGAUGUCUUAUUUUGGAUUUUUCACUUUGGAGAAAGAACACUGUGGGAUGAGGAGGAGAAAAAAAAAUGUAGCUCUCAGUAGCCCAGUCCUAGGAAGCAAUGUGACCCAAUACUCUUUAUACAGACCCACGAAGUUAGAUAAAUACAUAUCUAAGAGUGAUUCCUGAAAGUGUGAAAAGAAAACUUACUCCUGAGGUAAAUUGGAUUGAGUCACUCUGUUAACACAGGACGGGGCUUCCUGAGGGUGGGUAGUAAUUGCUAACUUCUCAGGGCAGAGUUACUGAGAAACCAUCUGGAGAUACAAAGAACAUAGUAUAUGUUCUAAAUGAGAGCCCUAAAUUAAGCAGAAUAACAAUUUUGUUCACCUAAUUCAAGUUAUUUCCAAAGAUUUCUGUUAAAAUGUUUUUUCCAUAAAUUGUAUAGAAAGAGAAGUCAAAAGCAUAUCUUUCAAACUGGGAUGAUGGGGUGAUCACUCAUAAGUAGAAUUCCAAAUAAGACAAACUCAAAAUUUCUUUAAAGUGAAAAAUGAGGGAGUCAGAGGAAAGGAAGAGAGUAUUUUCCAAGUUAGAGCCUAUUAUUUUUGUGAAUAUGAUAUUUUCAGAAACAUAACCUAAAUGCAGAAUUCCCAAACUCCCCCCAAAAGUUUAUGUUGAAAACAAGACUAGUCUAUACUACGUGGUGAAAGGAAUUCCAUUCUGUUCUCUACUGGAAGCUGAAAAAUAAAGUCCUUUUCCAUUAGUAACCUGUUAUUUCAACGUUUAAUAAUAUUGCUAUUACCUCGAGUGGUUUAAAAACAAAAGUUGGAGUGCCAAAAUAAACUUGAAUGAUAUUUUGGAAUUAACAUCCCUACAGACCUUAACGUUGUGCACCGUUUAGUUCCUCUAAACAAGUCAAACGACUGAAAUCACAGCAUUUAUUUGUGAUAUUAAUGUCUUCUUCAUCCCCCAUUAUUUAAACAGAUGUGAGCGUAGGAAAGUGCGUGGUUUUCCUGUUCCAUUUCCCAUCCUCUGAAGGAAAAGACCAGAUAAACUUCUGGAUUCCUCAAUGAUUCCAUUCAGAUGUUCCCUGUAGAAAGCCUGAAUGAUUUCUCUGUGUCCCCUCCAUUUCCAAGUUGUUUAGAAAGAGAGAGAAAAACAGAAUAAAAGGAAUUAUUAUUCUAACCUGGCAUUAUAAGCAAUGUCACAUGUUCUUAAAGAAUUAUUUGUGUAGUGAAGGGAUAAUAAAACGUGGCAUAGGGAAGAAAGGAAAUACAGCCGGGAGGCCCUGCUGCUGACUGUGCGGAACAAUAGGCAGCCUCUAAGGAUUCUUGCCUGAAGUCCUGGCUCUGCCAUCAAAUCACGGUAUGCCUUUGGCACAGUAGCUUACAUUUGUGUGAGCCAAAGUCUUUUAGUUUCUUGGCCAAUGCAACCGAAAGACCCAGCCAGCACAACUGUAAAGGAGGAAAAGUUUAUUUGGGGCCUUGCAGUUUCAGAGAUCUUGUCCACAGAAGGCCAGCUCCGUUCCUCAAGGCUCAAGCUGACGGAGAGAGAAAUGCCACAUGUAUGAAAAUACCAUGAGCAGAAGGCUGGUAACACGGCUCAGAGGUAGAGCACUUACCUACCCCGUGUGAGGUCGCAGUUCCAUCGACAGCGCUGCAGACAACAACAACGAAAGAACACAAAAUCUGUGGACAAAAAAAGAAAUAAGGCUCAGCAACAAUUCCGAGGAAAAAACGAACACACACACACACACUAACACACGCACGCACAAAUUUGCAAAAAGUAAAAACUUUGAUUUGCUAUUGAGCUGCAUCUUAUCUGUGCAACUCCAUGUACUGAGCCCCACGGGUGAGGAGUAACAGGGAUUUAUUGACUGAUCAGUUGAUGGAUAUUUUCCUCCUGAGGGAAGCUGAGGGGUCCGCAAGUGUAUGUGUGCACAGAUAUGUCCAUACACAUUGACAAACCUGGAUUUUACACACUCCAAAAGCUUGGCGUCAUUAUUGCUGAAUGAUAAGAUUCCCUGUGAUUUUUAAAUCUUUUCUCUUUGCAUAUCUUUAUUUGCAGAUUAUUUACAAAAAAAAAAAAAAAACAAUGUUCAAAAUUACUUGUCAUGCCUGUUGCUCAGGACCGAAAAUAAUAUGUAAUAUGUGGUCAUACUGAAUUUAACUACAGGAAGAGGUGAUAGUAGAGUGUGCUUUCUAGAGGCGGACUGCCUGGGUUCAAAAUACUGGCAGCAUGACCACCCUUGACCUUCACCUCUCUUGCUAGGUUAAUCCACCUGAAAGAUGCGGGUCAUAUCAGUGCCCACCUCGCAGAGUUGUGUGUAAAACUUUAAGGAGAUUAGAUAUGUAAAGAAACACCAUCCAAAGAAACCUUUCCUAAAUGUUGUCUACUCUUACUGAUUUCUAGCCCUCUUUCGGUAUUCAAUUUUAAAAUGAAGAUCAGAAUCAGCGGAGACCCACUCCAGGCUCCAGCUGAUGUUUGGAGAAGCAUCAUAUCCCCUUCAUCCUGCUCAUUACUUCCCUUUGAAGAACUCUAACUGGGAAAUGCACUUAUUUCCCUCAUGUCAGAACAAGCCAUUGAUUUGUCAGGAGAAAAGUACAAAGACUUUCACAUUUUUGCUGCUCUGUCUCCUGAAUUAACACUCCACUUUUGAUUUUAAGAGAGCAAAACACCAUUUGGUGUUUUAAGAGUGAAUAAAAUAUAUAAAAAUGAGAAUGGCUUUGACUACUUAAUAUCAAUGUGAAUGAACCUAAAGAAGUGAAAUUCUGUAUAUUACUGCUUUCACUUUAAAUGGUUUUAGCAACCUCAAAAUGAAUAGACAAUUUUGUUUCAUUCCCUUCAAAAUUACAAAUUAAUAUUUUUAAGAGAUGGCGUUAAUAAGCAUUUGAGUUGAAACGUAUUAAAAACUAUAAAGGUUUCCUCCAUGUGGCUCCGAGUUUUGCUGCAUAAAACUGACAGAGUUGUCAUAAAAAUAGUAAUAUCAUGCAAUACUAUAUUUGUAUUCCUCAGUUCAAUUGCUUUUUAUUUUCUCACUGUAGGCAACUAAGACAUGCCUGGGUGAAGUUUCCUAAGAACAAAAUAAUUAACCCAACAUUUAUCCAAAAUGCUGAACUUCCUUGCCUAAUUCUUCAAGUAAAUAUCCUGCCUUUGAUGGGGAUGUACAAAUGGUUUCAACUUGAGGCUUAAAAAGUUGCCAUAAACUAUACUGAUUAAUCAGGAACACCUUGUAAUUUGUUGCACUUGAAAUGUAGCUACCUAACUUCCUGAAUGUUUUAACAACACACCUGUAAAUUUGCACAACCGAAACUCUACCUCCCAGAAGUUAAGAGAUGGUGCCAACAGUCACAGAAAGUACGAGAAGGAUAAAUCUCAAAAGCUGUUUCUUUACCCUCUGCACCCCCAAAGUGAAAUCAAGAAUUAAAACAGAUUGUAGAUUUGGAGCCCAAUUUAAAACAAAAACAAAAACAAAAACUUUAGGCUUUAUUGUUUUACUAGUUGAUGUUUUUGUUUUUUUUUUUAAAUAGAACUUUCUAGUCAAAUGUUUUUAGUUCUUUGUCUCUUUUUAAUUUUUUUAAUAUGGGUGGUCUUAUUGUAAAAUUCUGUUGAGGUAAUAUAUACAUGCUUGCUCUAAAAUGCAGAUAUUAAGAGAUUUUAUUCAUAACAGGCUAAAUUUGUCUCUUGUGAAAGAUUAAAAAAAAACACACUUUAAAGUUGAUGAGUCCAUGAUUUUAAGUAAAAAUCCUCAUUCAAAUGUGAUUGCUUUAUCAGUUUAACUCUGGUCAGAGUAAUUUGUGUUCUUUCUAUAUAUUACUCCAACUAUAAUAAAACAGUUGAUGCAAAUGUGAAAUUGUUGCUACUGCGGAAUAUUUCCAACCAUGUAAGGUUGUAAUGUUAAACUCUCAUUCAAGAUCAAAAUUCCACAUAUUUGCAACCUGCAAACAUCCAAAAUUCACACUUCAACAUCUGUGCGGCUGCCAACUUCAACUGCAAUCUAUAUCUUGCUUUUGCAGAAAUGGAACAGAAAAAAAUUUGAAGUAAGUUACAUGAAAUAUUUACCAAAUGUUUGCUCGGCGUACAUCCUAAUAAUUGAUUACACUUAAAAACUGCACGAAGGACGCAAAACCCCUCUAGUUUACAGGAUUUUAUAGCAGGCGGUGGCUCAUAUACUGAAAGCAUGCCCAAAACGUACAGCAUGCCCAGUUUCAAACGCAAACACUGAGGAUUUUUUUCAUCUACAAUAUGUAGUUUCUGUAACUUCCUUUUAUGA